AGGGUUUUUUUGAAGUCACGCGAUAUUUUCUUUUCAAACCAGGGCUUUUGUUUUAUGAGAAAAUUAAGGCCAUAUAUAUUUAUAUUUAUAUUAGGAGAUAAUGCAUAUUUUUUAGCAUCCAUGCCGUAUAUAUUUAGCAUGUUUAUGCAUACAGUUUUUGUUAUAGUGUAUAAUGCAUUCUGUUUUAUUCAAUUUUAAAUGUUAGAAAAUUUUAAGUUUUUGGGGUUCCGUUUAAAUGGGUGGUUAACAACCAUUGAACUGCUUAGGUUGAUUUUCUGAUGAGUUUUCUGCUUUUCUGGUAGAAUGCCACAACUGAGCAUUAUCAAAUUUAUGAUCUGACAAAUGGUUUUAGGAGUAGUUGUGCUUAUGCUCGGCGACCAAGUUUGGACUGCCACUUUUGUUUUUGGUUUUGUGAGGAAAUAGAUAUAACGGUUGGAAAAUCAAUCUAUUAGCAUUUCCUCAAUUGCUUUUAUUUUGUGAUUUUUAGGGGGUUUUGUCUGUAUGCUCGGAUGCUGUUUGAUUUCAGUCUUUUUUGUAGUUUGAUAUCAAUAUUAUUUGUAGUUUGAUAUAAUAUUUAGACAAUCAAAAUGUGUCGUUCAGUCAAAUAGAGCAAAAGAUGCUGACAAAGGCUCAUUUCUUACUUAGGGUGAAAAGGUAGAGUAAAAUAUAGUUAGCCGGUGAAAGAGAGAAUCAAAGAGUGGGGAGGAACUAUUUUUCGAUUCAAACGUGUAAUCCUAGCUUAGGAGUGACAGUAAUCUUCUUUGUACUGUUCUAAUUUUAUGAGAUGUCCAUGAAGGAGAUUUCAUGGUGGGUGGCUCGCAGCAAAUUUAAGAGAACAUUGAUGCUCAAACGAUGAAGAUCUUGGUUGUCAAAUUGGGCUCUGAUUUGCUAGGUAGUUCAGGUUUUUAUUUUUUUUAUUUUUUUUUUAAUUUUGUCAACUAGGGAGUUCAGGUUUCAAUUUGAGCUUUUUGAGGGAGAUAGCUUUUUACUUUUCUUAUAAAAAGCUUUGACCUAGAAUUGGUGAUUGAUUAAUUACGAUCCCUAACGAAAUCCAAAAAAGCAGUGGUAGUGGUAAUUCAAAGAUAUCGUGACCAAUGUUCACAUUUUUGGUAGUGGUAAUUCAAUCCAAAACUUCAUAAUUUUAAGAUACAAUCUAAUUGUAGUAUGAAAAAAAAUUCCAAUUGUGGUAUUUUAGAUGUUGGAAUCGGAACAUUCAGUUCACUAAAACGACAUCGUUAUAUAAGAAAAAGACAAGGAUUGAACUUCUUCUUUGCGAUGGUGGCUCCACAAGUCAAGCUGAUAUCUGGCUCUGCCACAGUUGGCUCUACAAAUCAUGAAUGCCAUAUUGCUAAAUCCAUCAAACAAAUUCUGAACGCAAACUCACAUAUGACCUAUCAUCUAAUAUUUUCUCGUAGUGCGCAUCAAUACAAACUUGUGAUCGCAAACAUAACAAAAUUUAGAAUUAAAAUAAAGAUUCCACGGAACUACAAAGUUUAAGUAUAGUAUGAUAAUUUUGUAUUACUAUGACUGAUUACCUUUUGCCGUCCGUUCACCUUUAUUUUUCAUUUCUAUUUUAAAUUUCUUUAUUUCUUUUGCUUUUCUUUUUGUCUCUCCUCCCUCCUGCAUCCUCUCACCCUCUUCUCUUAGCGAGCCGACGACUGCCGACGCAACAGCUUUGUCGUCCACGGGUCACCAAAGGCUGUCAAAUUACACAUCCAGAAUGCUCUUGCCGUCCUUUAUCCAAUCCCCAAGAAUUGGACCUCGACCCAAGAGGUAGAAAUGAUCCUCUUCUCGUGGUCUGUUCUCCAAUCAGCUUACUUUGGUUCUGAGUUGCCUGCUGUCCAGUAGAUGUUUAAGACUUAAUGUGGAGGAAAUUCUCUCUUGAAGUUGCUUGAACUUACCUAUUUGGUAGACAAGGCUACUCAAGGGAAAGCUAGCCUGAGGUGAGACAUGCUAACUGAAAAGGGUUAUUCCAAUAUUAUUGUGGAAUCUGAUAAAGGUUUCUUGAGGCAGUUGCUGAUCCGAAAAGCUUCUUCCAUCUUAACUGCUAUUGGGUGUAAGACUUUUAUUGGGCUUACAUCUAUACAGGAGUCCUAAUUGAUUAAGGAUAAAAGAAAGGAAGUAAUAUUUGAUUAUUCCGGAUUACUUAUGGUGAAGUAUAGCAAUAAUUUUUGGGAAUAUCAAUCCUAUUAGUUCAUGGAUUUUAGAGGUGCUAAAGAUUUGUAUUAGGGUUUUCUUUAUGGGCGAGAAACCUAAUACUCUCACCUAUAAAUAUAAGGCUUAGGUCCCACUUUUAUACACAUUAUUCUAGCACAAAACACUACCCCAUAUAGGAGUGCAUAAGGCGUGUAGAGAGAGAUGAAGAUCUUUGCUUGUUCGUUGCUGAUCAUGGUUCAAUCUUGUUCAUAUCAAUGGCUUCUCAAGGUUAGUACUUGCAUAUUAUAGAUCGACUUGCAUUGGGUACCUCAAAAAAAUCAAUUAGGUAGCAGAAUGUGGUUUGACGAUCCUUAUUGUUCAAUUUUUUAAGUACUAUCCAUGUAUGUAUAUAUUCUAUAAAACAUGGUAGAAUAAUUUUUUGAGUACUAUAUAGAUAAUUUCAUCA